rnacentral:misc_RNA from 1 species
UCCUUACUUCCGUAGGUGAACCUGCGGAAGGAUCAUUAACGCGCAGGCCGUAGACGGCCCGUCCCCGGAUGCGUCCGGGGGCGGUGUCGCCGGCCACACGCCCAUUCUUGUCUAUUUACCCAGUUGCCUCGGCGGGCCGCGCACUCGUGCCGCGCCUCGAGGAGCCGUCCGGGGACAAUCAACUCCCUGGAUCGCGCCCGCCGGAGGAGUGAUUAAAAUCCAUGAAUACUGUUCCGUCUGAGCGUUAGCAAGUAAAAUCAGUUAAAACUUUCAACAACGGAUCUCUUGGUUCCGGCAUCGAUGAAGAACGCAGCACGU